rnacentral:rRNA from 1 species
GGCGCAUGGUGGAUGCCUUGGCAUCAGAGGCCGAUGAAGGACGUGGGAGGCUGCGAUAUGCCUCGGGGAGCUGCCAACCGAGCGUUGAUCCGAGGAUGUCCGAAUGGGGAAACCCAGCACGAGUGAUGUCGUGUUACCCGUAUCUGAAUUCAUAGGGUGCGGGAGGUAACGCGGGGAAGUGAAACAUCUCAGUACCCGUAGGAAGAGAAAACAAUAGUGAUUCCGUGAGUAGUGGCGAGCGAAAGCGGAGGAUGGCUAAACCGUAUGCAUGUGAUACCGGGUAGGGGUUGUGUGUGCGGGGUUGUGGGACCUUAUUUUCCGGGGCUACCUUCCUGGAGGGCAGUGAGAAAGUGUCGUGGUUAGCGGAAAUGGCUUGGGAUGGCCUGCCGUAGACGGUGAGAGCCCGGUACGUGAAAACCCGACACCUGCCUUGAUUUGUGUUCCCGAGUAGCAGCGGGCCCGUGAAAUCUGCUGUGAAUCUGCCGAGACCACUCGGUAAGCCUGAAUACCUUCUGAUGACCGAUAGCGGAUUAGUACCGUGAGGGAAUGGUGAAAAGUACCCCGGGAGGGGAGUGAAAUAGUACCUGAAACCGUGUGCCUACAAGCCGUCAGAGCCCUCCUUCGUGGUGGGGUGAUGGCGUGCCUUUUGAAGAAUGAGCCUGCGAGUCAGGGACAUGUCGCGAGGUUAACCCGUGUGGGGUAGCCGCAGCGAAAGCGAGUCUGAAUAGGGCGUUGAGUUAGUAGGAUUAGACGCGAAACCUUGUGAUCUACCCAUGGGCAGGUUGAAGCUUUGGUAACACAAAGUGGAGGACCGAACCGGUUGACGUUGAAAAGUCUUCGGAUGACCUGUGGGUAGGGGUGAAAGGCCAAUCAAACUCCGUGAUAGCUGGUUCUCCCCGAAAUGCAUUUAGGUGCAGCGUCGUGUGUUUCUCACCGGAGGUAGAGCACUGGAUGGCCUAGGGGGCCGACAAGCUUACCGAAGUCAGCCAAACUCCGAAUGCCGGUGAGUGAGAGCGCGGCAGUGAGACUGCGGGGGAUAAGCUUCGUGGUCGAGAGGGAAACAGCCCAGAUCACCGGCUAAGGCCCCUAAGCGUGCGCUAAGUGGGAAAGGAUGUGGGAUCGCCCGGACAACCAGG